rnacentral:rRNA from 1 species
AAGGUAUGCAAGUCGAACGAUCCCUUUCUGAUUUCUAGUAACUUCGGUUGCUAGUUUUCUAUCUGGGAUAGUGGCAAACGGGUGAGUAACACGUAGAUAACUUGCCUCGAAGUCGGGAAUAGCUCGUCGAAAGACGGGGUAAUAUCCGAUGGUCUCUAACCACUUCGUGUGUUUUAGAGUAAAGCUUUUGUGCUUCGAGAGAGGUCUGCGUCCUAUCAGCUAGUUGGUAAGGUAAUGGCUUACCAAGGCUAAGACGGGUAGCUGGUGUGAGAGCACGGUCAGCCACCAUGGAACUGAGACACGGUCCAUACUCCUACGGGAGGCAGCAAUUAGGAAUCUUGCGCAAUGGGGGCAACCCUGACGCAGCGACACAGCGUGGAGGAUGAAGGUCUUCGGAUUGUAAACUCCUUUUAUAUGGGAAGAAUAGAUGACUGUACCAUAUGAAUAAGGACCUGCUAACUACGUGCCAGAAGCAUCGGUGAUGCGUAGGGUCCGAACGUUAUCCGGAUUUAUUGGGUGUAUAGAGAUGCGUAGGCGGUUUGAUAAGUCUUGAGUUAAAGACCUCGGCUCAACCGAGGAAAAGCUUUCGAUACUAUCAGACUUGAGGCAUAGAGGGGUGAACGGAAUUCCGAGUGGAGUGGUGAAAUACGUUGAUAUUCGGAGGAACAUCAGUGGCGAAGGCGGUUCACUGGCUAUUGCCUGACGCUCAGGCUCGAAAGCGUGGGUAGCAAAACGGAUUAGAUACCCGUGUAGUCCACGCUGUAAACUAUGGAUGCUAGGUGUUCGGUACAACUGUUUUUAAUCUUCGGAUUUUAAACGGGAGUGCUGAGUGCCGCAGCUAACGCGUUAAGCAUCCCACCUGGGAA